GACGAACGCUGGCGGCGUGCUUAACACAUGCAAGUCGAACGGAAAGGCCCUGCUUUUGUGGGGUUCUCGAGUGGCGAACGGGUGAGUAACACGUGAGUAACCUUCCCUUUACUUUGGGAUAACUUCAGGAAACUGGUGCUAAUACCUGAUAGGAGCUCCUGCUGCAUGGUGGGGGUUGGAAAGUUUCGGCGGUUGGGGAUGGACUCGCGGCUUAUCAGCUUGUUGGUUGGGUAGUGGCUUACCAAGGCUUUGACGGGUAGCCGGCCUGAGAGGGUGACCGGGGACCAGGGGACUGAGAGAGGGCGCAGACGCCUACGGGAGGCAGCAGUGGGGAGUAUUGCACAGUGGGGGGAAGCGUGAUGCAAAAGCGCCGGGUGCGGGAAGAAGGCCUUCGGGUGAUGAACCGCAUUAGCCUGUGACGAAGCGUGAGUGACGGUAAUGAGUAAAGAAGCACCGGCUAACUACGUG
rnacentral:rRNA from 1 species